UAACGCGUGGGUAACCUGCCUCNUACAGGGGGAUAACAGUUGGAAACGACUGCUAAUACCGCAUAAGCGCACAGGGUCGCAUGACCUGGUGUGAAAAACUCCGGUGGUAUGAGAUGGACCCGCGUCUGAUUAGCCAGUUGGUGGGGUAACGGCCUACCAAAGCAACGAUCAGUAGCCGACCUGAGAGGGUGACCGGCCACAUUGGGACUGAGACACGGCCCAAACUCCUACGGGAGGCAGCAGUGGGGAAUAUUGCACAAUGGGGGAAACCCUGAUGCAGCGACGCCGCGUGAGCGAAGAAGUAUUUCGGUAUGUAAAGCUCUAUCAGNAGGGAAGAAGAAAUGACGGUACCUGACUAAGAAGCACCGGCUAAAUACGUGCCAGCAGCCGCGGUAAUACGUAUGGUGCAAGCGUUAUCCGGAUUUACUGGGUGUAAAGGGAGCGCAGGCGGUACGGCAAGUCUGAUGUGAAAGCCCGGGGCUCAACCCCGGUACUGCAUUGGAAACUGUCGGACUAGAGUGUCGGAGGGGUAAGUGGAAUUCCUAGUGUAGCGGUGAAAUGCGUAGAUAUUAGGAGGAACACCAGUGGCGAAGGCGGCUUACUGGACGAUUACUGACGCUGAGGCUCGAAAGCGUGGGGGAGCAAACAGGAUUAGAUACCCUGGUAGUCCACGCCGUAAACAAUGAAUACUAGGUGU
rnacentral:rRNA from 1 species